GACCCCGUAGUUCAGUGGUAGAAUGUGAGAUUCCAGCGCGUGAAAUUCCUCAAGGUCAUCCGUUCAAUCCGGGUCGGGGUCA